UACGUAGGGGGCUAGCGUUGCUCGGAAUCACUGGGCGUAAAGGGUGCGUAGGCGGGUCUUUAAGUCAGGGGUGAAAUCCUGGAGCUCAACUCCAGAACUGCCUUUGAUACUGAAGAUCUUGAGUUCGGGAGAGGUGAGUGGAACUGCGAGUGUAGAGGUGAAAUUCGUAGAUAUUCGCAAGAACACCAGUGGCGAAGGCGGCUCACUGGCCCGAUACUGACGCUGAGGCGCGAAAGCGUGGGGAGCAAACAGG
rnacentral:rRNA from 1 species